AAGUAAUCCGUCAGGACGAAUCUGAUCUGUAAGAGCACUAAGUCCAAAAUCCGAAACUCUGAGAUCGAAAUUAUCAUCGAGAAGGAGAUUUUCUGGUUUCAAAUCGCGAUGAAAAAUUCCUCUGGAAUGACAGUAUCCAACGGCGGUAAUCAAUUGCUGAAAGUACCGACGGCUGAGAUUCUCACUGAAUCUUCCUUUAGAAACUUU
rnacentral:misc_RNA from 1 species